CCUACGGGAGACAGCAGUGGGGAAUAUUGGGCAAUGGAGGAAACUCUGACCCAGCAACGCCGCGUGAAUGAUGAAGGUCUUCGGAUUUUAAAGUUCUUUUCUAAGGGAAGAACAAAGUGACGGUACCUUAGUAAUAAGCCUACGGUAACUACGUGCCAGCAGCCGCGGUAAUACGUAGGAGGCAAUCGUUAUCCGGAAUGACUGGGCGUAAAGGGUGCGUAGGUGGUUUGACAAGUCUGUAGCGUAACUCCGGGGCUCAACCGCGUCAUUGCUACCGAAACUGUCGGACUUGAGUGCAGGAGGGGCAAAUGGAAUUCCUGGUGUAGCGGUGAAAUGCGUAGAUAUUAGGAAGAACACCAGUGGCGAAGGCGAUUUGCUGGACUGUAACUGACACUGAGGCACGAAAGCGUGGGGAGCAAACAGGAUUAGAUACCCCUGUAGUC
rnacentral:rRNA from 1 species